rnacentral:lncRNA from 1 species
AAUCUUAGUCUGACGAAUUUUUCUCCUAAGAUAGAGACCUAGUCUGACGAACCUUCUCCUAGGAUCAAAAUCUUAGUCCGAUGAAUCUUUCUCCUAAGAUGCUAAAAAAAACAUUUUGAAAAAAAAAGGAGUCAUUUUCCUAAAGCCAGGCGCCCACCCAUAGAACAGAGGAAUACAUUUCAGUCCUCACAUUUCGAGUAUUGAAGUUAGGCGCCCACCUGUAUAACAAGGGAAUACAUCCUAAUCUAGUGUUUAGUUCACUCUCAGCACUGCAUCAGUAGUAUCAGUGGGCUACGAUUUUGCUAACGACUCACAAACCUUC